AACGAACGCUGGCGGCAUGCCUAACACAUGCAAGUCGAACGAGACCUUCGGGUCUAGUGGCGCACGGGUGCGUAACGCGUGGGAACCUUCCCUUAGGUUCGGAAUAACUCCCCGAAAGGGGUGCUAAUACCGGAUAAUGUCUUCGGACCAAAGAUUUAUCGCCUUUGGAUGGGCCCGAGUUGGAUUAGCUAGUUGGUAGGGUAAAAGCAUACCAAGGCGACGAUCCAUAGCUGGUCUGAGAGGAUGAUCAGCCACACUGGGACUGAGACACGGCCCAGACUCCUACGGGAGGGAGCAGUGGGGAAUAUUGGAAAAUGGGCGAAAGGCUGAUCCAGCAAUGCCGCGUGAGUGAUGAAGGCCUUAGGGUUGUAAAGCUCUUUUACCCGGGAUGAUAAUGACAGUACCGGGAGAAUAAGCUCCGGCUAACUCCGUG
rnacentral:rRNA from 1 species